rnacentral:tRNA from 1 species
GGGCGUUUAGCGCAGUGGUAGCGCGUAUGCUUUGCAAAUCCUUUCGGGUUGAAUAUGUAUAAGGUCCAGGGUUCAAUCCCCUGAACGUCCA